GAGUUGGGAUCUGGCUAGAUUGCCCAGGCUGGUCUCAAACUCCUGGCCUAAAGGGAUUCUCCCACUUUGGCCUCCUAAAUUGCUGGGAUUAUAGGCAUGAGGCACUGCACCCAGCCUUAUCUCCUUUUCUUAUGAAAAAACCAUUUUAUCUUAUUUCUGCCAUGAGAGAGUAGAGCUAAUUUUUUAAAGUAAGUUGCACAUUUUAAUCUAGAGCACAUUUUCCCACACUUAAAACUCUUGUUGGCUGCCAGACUGUAGCUUUUGACUACUCUUUCACUCACCAGGGUUUUGUAUACGUUACAUGUCAGAAAUGUAAUUGCUCACUCACAUAAUGGUCAGUCUUAGCUACUGUUUGUGUCUAGACUUUUUGGCUUACCAUCUGGUAGGCGCUGCAGAAUCACUCUGGAUGACAUUUGGGGGCCACACCCAGACAAUAUGCACUCCAAGAAACUUGAUACUUAAAGUAGGCUUAUAGAUGAGUAAAUAAGAUGUGUGGUUAUUUCCCACAGCUUUGUUUAACUUGUAUCACAGAAGGGGAUUUUUCUGGUGAUUAUACAGUGGCUUGCAGGCCAAGGUGAUGAUGAUGUGAUGAUAUAAUUACUUCUAGGUGCAUCUAAAUUGUCAGCUUUCUGAAUCCUGUGGACACUUAGUGAACACCGUUAAGCAGAGAUAAACACUUGAGCGUGUAUCCUGUUUGCCCUAAUAUUUAUUGUUGUGCAAAUUUGGACUCUCAGACUCUUCUCUCUGCACUCGGUUUCCAGUAGCGCCUGAGAAAGUUGUCUCUUGCUUCCUGUUGAGCCCUUUCCAUAGUUCACAGUUGACCCUUAACAUUUUCUUGUCUGUGAGAGUCAGUGUUCAUUCUUUGGCCGGCUUUUGUCUCCUAAGAGUUGCAAAGAUUGGUCCUUAAUAGAAACAAUUGUGCUAUGCUAUGUAGCAGGCACUUCUGCUCUGCUAUGUCUGUAGGCUCCACUGACCAGCAAACAGACUCAGGAUUGCUCACCCAUGUGGUCCAGGUCUACGUCCCCGUGGACAAUAAUGCUUAGGUGGACCCAAGUUUAGUCAGCAGCAAAGAAAAUUAUUCUGAUCUCUCAGAAAUGGGAAGGCUACUCUUCCUGGUGGCUUGGAAGUGCACCUUUCAUUCCAUCAUUUAAAAAUAUUUGGGCAGGCAUGGUGGCUCACACCUGUAAUCCCAAUAUUUUGAGAGGCCGCAAUGGAAGGAUCACUUGAGGCCAGGAGUUCAAGACUAGUCUGGGCAACACAGCAAGACCUGUCUCUACAAAAAAUUAGCUGAGUGUGGUGGUACACACCUGUAGUCCUAGCUACUCAGGAGGCUGAGGUGGGAGGAUUGCUUGAGCCAGGAGGUCAAGGCUGCAGUGGGCUGUGAUUGUGCCACCAUACUCCAGCCUGGGUGACAGAGCGAGACCUUGUCUUAGAAAAAAAAAGUAAAACUAAUUAAAAAUACGUUAAAAAUAAAUAAAAUAAAAAUAUUUAUUGGGUACCUUUUAUGUGCUCAGUACUAUGCUAGGCACCAGGAUACAAUAGUGAACAAGACGGGCAAGAUUUUUGCCUUUAAGGAGCUUCCAUUCUGUCAGGGCUCAUCAGACACUGAACAAGUAAACAAACACAACAACUGCAGCCUGGUCUGUGGGUGCCACUAGGAAACAGAGACUCCUUGCUUGAGGGGCAGAGUCCUCUUGCUCUAAGAAAAGAAAUUGGUUCUUCCUUUCAUCUACUUUUCCUGCCAGUGUUUAUUUGCUAGCCCAUAUGUUCCUGCACAGGGUCACUCCUAUUGUGAAAUAAAUGCUGAAUAAAUAAAA
rnacentral:lncRNA from 1 species